rnacentral:lncRNA from 1 species
AGAGAUGGAGCCGGCGCCACCUGACUAGGGAGGACUAGUUUAGAUCUCCAGAUUCGGUGUGGCACAAUUGAAAAGGCAGUGGCUUUCAGGCUAGUCACUGCACGGACUAGUAAGGCAGCUCUCUUGCUCCCAGCACCGUGCAUCUGAUUCUCCGUUCUCAGGGACCACCUGACAUGGUUAAACAGCCCUGGCUUAACGUUCCAGACACUGCUGCCAAUACUUGCGGCUGUUAGUUCCUGAUUUCUGCUUAAGAUCACUCAGAAGAGGAUCAGCUGCUGAUCAUACGUCUGACUCAGCUAUAUCUCAUUGCUAUGGCUCUUGGCCACAAGAUAUCUGACUCUGUGUCACCAGCCUAACAGAAGAUCACAUUGUGCUGCCAAAGCACAGAACACACCCAGCUUCUUGGAUUUCAUCUGUCUUGCAUUUCCUUAUGUAUCAGUUACAGGAAAAGCAGCAACUGAAAUACAGCUCUCAAAUGCUCUGGAUGGUAAAUAAAACAAGGCAUAUGCUAUAAUA